rnacentral:tRNA from 1 species
GUGGUGGCUCAGAGGUAGAGUGCUUGCCUGGCACAUGUGAGGCCCUGGGUUCAAUUCUUAGCACCACA